rnacentral:rRNA from 1 species
GAUGAACGCUGGCGGCGUGCCUAAUACAUGCAAGUCGAGCGAACAGACGAGGAGCUUGCUCCUCUGACGUUAGCGGCGGACGGGUGAGUAACACGUGGAUAACCUACCUAUAAGACUGGGAUAACUUCGGGAAACCGGAGCUAAUACCGGAUAAUAUAUUGAACCGCAUGGUUCAAUAGUGAAAGACGGUUUUGCUGUCACUUAUAGAUGGAUCCGCGCCGCAUUAGCUAGUUGGUAAGGUAACGGCUUACCAAGGCAACGAUGCGUAGCCGACCUGAGAGGGGGUCCGGCCCCACGGGAACUGGGAACCGGGCCAAAUUCCAAGGGGGGGCGGAGGGAGGGAUACUUCCCGAAUGGGGGAAAGCCUGACGGGGCAACGCGGGGGGGGUGAGAAGGUUCUCCGGAUCGUAAAACCUUUUUUUUGGGGAAAAAAAAAUGUUUAAGUAACGAUGCCGGUUUUAAGGGUCCCAAAUAAGAAGGCCACGCCAACCUCGGG